AGCAGUAGCCGCGGUAAUACGUAGGGUGCGAGCGUUAAUCGGAAUUACUGGGCGUAAAGCGUGCGCAGGCGGUUGUGUAAGACAGGUGUGAAAUCCCCGGGCUUAACCUGGGAACUGCGCUUGUGACUGCACAGCUAGAGUAUGGCAGAGGGGGGUGGAAUUCCACGUGUAGCAGUGAAAUGCGUAGAGAUGUGGAGAAACACCGAUGGCGAAGGCAGCCCCCUGGGCCAAUACUGACGCUCAUGCACGAAAGCGUGGGGAGCAAACAGGAUUAGAUACCCCCGUAGUCCCUGUCUCUUAUAC
rnacentral:rRNA from 1 species